AUCUGAGGAUGGUCGCGCAUGGACGUCAAGGGGAGAACUUCGGCUGUGACGAUCUUUCUGUACUUCCUUCGUUCGAAAUUCAAACUCAGAAGUAGGGGGACUAGUGUUGGGUAUAAAAUACCCUCAGCCAAAGUUCUCAAUAGGAUUAACCCUCGCGAGUCUCCUCUAACUCCGGCCGCAAGCAGACCUCGCCCGGACUCCUACGGGAGCCGGACUCCGCCCGC
rnacentral:lncRNA from 1 species